UGUCACAUAGAUUAUGUUCUGGGACCU
rnacentral:piRNA from 1 species